GACGAACGCUGGCGGCGUGCUUAACACAUGCAAGUCGUACGGUAAGGCCCUUUCGGGGGUACACGAGUGGCGAACGGGUGAGUAACACGUGAGUAACCUGCCCACAACUUUGGGAUAACGCUAGGAAACUGGUGCUAAUACUGGAUAUGUGCCCCUGCUUCAUGGUGGGGGUUGGAAAGCUCCGGGGGUUGUGGAUGGACUCGCGGCCUAUCGGCUUGUUGGUGGGGUAGUGGCCUACCAAGGCGGCUACGGGUAGCCGGCCUGCGAGGGUGACCGGCCACAUUGAGACUGAGGGACGGCCCAGACACCGACGGGAGGCAGCAGUGGGGAAUAUUGCACGAGGGGCGCAAGCCUGAUGCAGCAGCGCCUCGUGCGGGAUGACGGCCUUAGGGUUGUAAACCGCUUUCAGCAGGGACUAAGCUUUUUGUGACGGUACCUGAAGAAGAAGCACCGGCUAACUACGUG
rnacentral:rRNA from 1 species